rnacentral:rRNA from 1 species
GCGGCCGCUCUGGUUGUUUCUGCCGGAGUUACUGCUAUCGGUGUUCGCCUAAGCCAUGCGAGUCAUAUGUAGCAAUACAUGGCGUACUGCUCAGUAACACGUGGAUAACCUGCCCUUGGGUUCGGCAUAACCCCGGGAAACUGGGGAUAAUUCCGGAUAACGCACAUAUGCUGRAAUGCUUUAUGCGUAAAAUGGAUUCGUCUGCCCAAGGAUGGGUCUGCGGCCUAUCAGGUAGUAGUGGGUGUAAUGUACCUACUAGCCAACAACGGGUACGGGUUGUGAGAGCAAGAGCCCGGAGAUGGAUUCUGAGACAUGAAUCGCAGGSCCUACGGGGCGCAGCAGGCGCGAAAACUUUACAAUGCGGGAAACCGUGAUAAGGGGACACCGAGUGCCAGCAUCAUAUGCUGGCUGUCCAGGUGUGUAAAAUACACCUGUCAGCAAGGGCCGGGCAAGACCGGUGCCAGCCGCCGCGGUAACACCGGCGGCCCGAGUGGUGAUCGUGAUUAUUGGGUCUAAAGGGUCCGUAGCCGGUUUGGUCAGUCCUCCGGGAAAUCUGACGGCUCAACCAUUAGGCUUUCGGGGGAUACUGCCAGGCUUGGAACCGGGAGAGGUAAGAGGUACUACAGGGGUAGGAGUGAAAUCUUGUAAUCCCUGUGAGACCACCUGUGGCGAAGGCGUCUUACCAGAACGGGUUCGACGGUGAGGGACGAAAGCUGGGGGCACGAACCGGAUUAGAUACCCGGGUAGUCCCAGCCGUAAACGAUGCUCGCUAGGUGUCAGGCAUGGCGCGACCGUGUCUGGUGCCGCAGGGAAGCCGUGAAGCGAGCCACCUGGGAAGUACGGCCGCAAGGCUGAAACUUAAAGGAAUUGGCGGGGGAGCACCACAACGGGUGGAGCUGCGGUUUAAUUGGACUCAACGCCGGGAAGCUUACCGGGAUCGACAGUUGUAUGAAGGCCAGGCUGAAGACCUUGCCGGACUAUCUGAGAGGAGGUGCAUGGCCGCCGUCAGUUCGUACCGUGAGGCGUCCUGUUAAGUCAGGCAACGAGCGAGACCC